rfam:Schistosoma haematobium scaffold147_27, whole genome shotgun sequence.
AUCCAGCCGACGAGUCUCAAAUAGAACGAAACGCGCAUUCUGGAU